rnacentral:rRNA from 1 species
CCCGUCAGGAUGAACGCUAGCGGCAGGCCUAAUACAUGCAAGUCGGACGGGAUCCGGGAGUAGCUCGCUACUUCCGGUGAGAGUGGCGCACGGGUGCGUAACGCGUGAGCAACCUGCCCAUAUCAGGGGGAUAGCCCGGAGAAAUCCGGAUUAACACCGCAUGACACGCCGGGACGGCAUCGUUCCGGCGUCAAAUAUUCAUAGGAUAUGGAUGGGCUCGCGUGACAUUAGCUAGUUGGUGGGGUAACGGCCCACCAAGGCGACGAUGUCUAGGGGCUCUGAGAGGAGAAUCCCCCACACUGGUACUGAGACACGGACCAGACUCCUACGGGAGGCAGCAGUAAGGAAUAUUGGUCAAUGGGGGCAACCCUGAACCAGCCAUGCCGCGUGCAGGACGACUGCCCUAUGGGUUGUAAACUGCUUUUGCCGGGGAAUAAACCCCACUACGUGUAGUGGGCUGAACGUACCCGGAGAAUAAGGAUCGGCUAACUCCGUGCCAGCAGCCGCGGUAAUACGGAGGAUCCGAGCGUUAUCCGGAUUUAUUGGGUUUAAAGGGUGCGUAGGCGGCACUUUAAGUCAGGGGUGAAAGACGGCAGCUCAACUGUCGCAGUGCCCUUGAUACUGAAGUGCUUGAAUGCGGUUGAAGACGGCGGAAUGAGACAAGUAGCGGUGAAAUGCAUAGAUAUGUCUCAGAACACCGAUUGCGAAGGCAGCUGUCUAAGCCGUUAUGACGCUAUGCCAAUG